AUUGAACGCUGGCGGCAGGCCUAACACAUGCAAGUCGAACGGUAACAGGAAGAAGCUUGCUUCUUUGCUGACGAGUGGCGGACGGGUGAGUAAUGUCUGGGAAACUGCCUGAUGGAGGGGGAUAACUACUGGAAACGGUAGCUAAUACCGCAUAACGUCGCAAGACCAAAGAGGGGGACAUUCGGGCCUCUUGCCAUCGGAUGUGCCCAGAUGGGAUUAGCUAGUAGGUGGGGUAACGGCUCACCUAGGCGACGAUCCCUAGCUGGUCUGAGAGGAUGACCAGCCACACUGGAACUGAGACACGGUCCAGACUCCUACGGGAGGCAGCAGUGGGGAAUAUUGCACAAUGGGCGCAAGCCUGAUGCAGCCAUGCCGCGUGUAUGAAGAAGGCCUUCGGGUUGUAAAGUACUUUCAGCGGGGAGGAAGGGAGUAAAGUUAAUACCUUUACUCAUUGACGUUACCCGCAGAAGAAGCACCGGCUAACUCCGUG
rnacentral:rRNA from 1 species